rnacentral:rRNA from 1 species
UACGAAGGGGGCUAGCGUUGCUCGGAAUUACUGGGCGUAAAGCGCACGUAGGCGGCUUUCUAAGUCGGAGGUGAAAUCCUGGAGCUCAACUCCAGAACUGCCUUCGAUACUGGAGAGCUUGAGUCCGGGAGAGGUGAGUGGAACUGCGAGUGUAGAGGUGAAAUUCGUAGAUAUUCGGAAGAACACCAGUGGCGAAGGCGGCUCACUGGCCCGGUACUGACGCUGAGGUGCGAAAGCGUGGGGAGUAAACAGG